AAAAAACCUUCCAUUUCUCUCAACCCUCCCCCAACCGAGACUCACCAAACAUGUUCUCGUUCACCACUUGAUCAUCGCCAACCGCCGCACCUCGCGAUCGCUAGUGGCUGUCAAGGCCCAAAACACACCGUUCGACUCAUCUCGACACUGUGAUUACAUAUCAGGGCUCGAUUUUUACUUGAUUCAACGCUUAGCUCCACGAAAGGACCUCGAAACUCCUCGACUCCCUCGAACUCCGACGACGCUAAAAUCCUAAUAACCUUACCACUCUCCGAUCUACCCCCAACACCUAGAUCGAAGCCUGAAAAGAACAUAUAAAACCUCCCCGAAGCGAAACCCGACUCCGUACCAUCUUCGGACUCCGGCAACCCCCACGCUCUUGGUUUUCUCCUCCCUCUCCGGUGAGACCUCGAAUAGUCAUGGAUUGAGACCAAUGAGACCACACAGUGAGUCACACUCGACGAGCAUUUAGAGACCACUGUUUUAUCGGUUGGAGUAGAAUGCUCGGACAAAGAGGGACCAGUGCUUGAGCCACUCACAUGUAACGGAUGAGACGUGGAAGAGAAGAAGUAUACCGGCGUGUUUGGUGCUGAUACAGGAAACAGUGACAGUAACAGGACAGUGGUGGCAGCAGUGGAGAUGGCAGGGAUAGCAAGCAAUUCCACAGUCGGGGCACAGGAUAUUAAGGGAUUUUAUUUCUCUUUUGCAUUUUUUUAAUAAUAUACAGAUAUAAUAUAUGUAGGGUGAAAAUUAGUGAUUACAUGUUGGAAACCGCACUGCAUAUAACGAUAAUUUUUUACCUUAAAGCGAAUGCCUUCAUCCUUAAUCACCUUACGAACAUAGAUGGAAGAAGCGAAAAAUCAUUGAUGUAAAAGAAUGGGAAUGAAAUUACUUUUUUUC